rnacentral:rRNA from 1 species
UACAGAGGUCUCAAGCGUUGUUCGGAUUCAUUGGGCGUAAAGGGUGCGUAGGCGGCGCGGUAAGUCGGGUGUGAAAUCUCGGGGCUUAACUCCGAAACUGCAUUCGAUACUGCCGUGCUUGAGGACUGGAGAGGAGACUGGAAUUUACGGUGUAGCGGUGAAAUGCGUAGAUAUCGUAAGGAAGACCAGUGGCGAAAGGCGGGGUCUCUGGA